rnacentral:rRNA from 1 species
UACGUAGGGUGCGAGCGUUAAUCGGAAUUACUGGGCGUAAAGCGUGCGCAGGCGGUUCGUUGUGUCCGGUGUGAAAGCCCCGAGCUUAACUUGGGAAUGGCAUUGGAAACUGGCGAGCUGGAGUGUGGCAGAGGGGGGUGGAAUUCCACGUGUAGCAGUGAAAUGCGUAGAGAUGUGGAGGAACACCGAUGGCGAAGGCAGCCCCCUGGGCCAACACUGACGCUCAGGCACGAAGGCGUGGGGAGCGAACGGG